rnacentral:rRNA from 1 species
CCCUUAGAUGUUCUGGGCCGCACGCGCGCUACACUGAUACGUUCAGCAAGUCUACCACCUCGGCCGAGAGGCCCGGGUAAUCUUCUGAAAGCGUAUCGUGAUGGGGAUAGAUUAUUGCAAUUUUUAAUCUUCAACGAGGAAUUCCUAGUAAACGCAAGUCAUCAACUUGCAUUGAUUACGUCCCUGCCCUUUGUACACACCGCCCGUCGCUACUACCGAUUGAAUGUUUUAGUGAGCCUCAGGGACUGGGGCCGUUGGUGGCAACACUGGCGGCUUCGGGAACUGAUGCAAACUUGAGCAUUUAGAGGAAGUAAAAGUCGUAACA